GAUGAACGCUAGCGGCAGGCCUAACACAUGCAAGUCGAACGGUAACAGGUCUUCGGAUGCUGACGAGUGGCGCACGGGUGCGUAACGCGUAUGCAACCUACCCCUAUCUGGAGAAUAGCCCGGAGAAAUCCGGAUUAAUACUCCAUAACAUCUCAACUUCGCAUGUUGAUGAGAUUAAAAUUCCGAUGGAUAGGGAUGGGCAUGCGUCCUAUUAGCUUGUUGGUGAGGUAACAGCUCACCAAGGCAACGAUAGGUAGGGGGCCUGAGAGGGUGGUCCCCCACACUGGUACUGAGACACGGACCAG
rnacentral:rRNA from 1 species